GCCAUAGCUCAGUGGUAGAGCAUCUGCUUGGCAUGCUUAAGGUCAUAGGUUCUAUCCCCUGGAACCG
rnacentral:tRNA from 1 species